rnacentral:rRNA from 1 species
GGUUAAGCGACUAAGCGUACACGGUGGAUGCCCUGGCAGUCAGAGGCGAUGAAGGACGUGCUAAUCUGCGAAAAGCGUCGGUAAGGUGAUAUGAACCGUUAUAACCGGCGAUGUCCGAAUGGGGAAACCCAGUGCAAUUCGUUGCACUAUCGUUAACUGAAUACAUAGGUUAACGAGGCGAACCGGGGGAACUGAAACAUCUAAGUACCCCGAGGAAAAGAAAUCAACCGAGAUUCCCCCAGUAGCGGCGAGCGAACGGGGAGCAGCCCAGAGUCUGAAUCAGCUUGUGUGUUAGUGGAACGGUCUGGAAAGUCCGACGGUACAGGGUGAUAGUCCCGUACACCAAAAUGCACAGGCUGUGAACUCGAAGAGUAGGGCGGGACACGUGGUAUCCUGUCUGAAUAUGGGGGGACCAUCCUCCAAGGCUAAAUACUCCUGACUGACCGAUAGUGAACCAGUACCGUGAGGGAAAGGCGAAAAGAACCCCGGCGAGGGGAGUGAAAAAGAACCUGAAACCGUGUACGUACAAGCAGUGGGAGCACCUUCGGGUGUGACUGCGUACCUUUUGUAUAAUGGGUCAGCGACUUAUAUUCUGUAGCAAGGUUAACCGUAUAGGGGAGCCGCAGGGAAACCGAGUCUUAACUGGGCGUUAAGUUGCAGGGUAUAGACCCGAAACCCGGUGAUCUAGCCAUGGGCAGGUUGAAGGUUGGGUAACACUAACUGGAGGACCGAACCGACUAAUGUUGAAAAAUUAGCGGAUGACUUGUGGCUGGGGGUGAAAGGCCAAUCAAACCGGGAGAUAGCUGGUUCUCCCCGAAAGCUAUUUAGGUAGCGCCUCGUGAAUUCAUCUUCGGGGGUAGAGCACUGUUUCGGCUAGGGGGUCAUCCCGACUUACCAACCCGAUGCAAACUACGAAUACCGAAGAAUGUUAUCACGGGAGACACACGGCGGGUGCUAACGUCCGUCGUGAAGAGGGAAACAACCCAGACCGCCAGCUAAGGUCCCAAAGUCAUGGUUAAGUGGGAAACGAUGUGGGAAGGCACAGACAGCCAGGAUGUUGGCUUAGAAGCAGCCAUCAUUUAAAGAAAGCGUAAUAGCUCACUGGUCGAGUCGGCCUGCGCGGAAGAUGUAACGGGGCUAAACCAUGCACCGAAGCUGCGGCAGCGACACUAUGUGUUGUUGGGUAGGGGAGCGUUCUGUAAGCCUGCGAAGGUGACCUGUGAGGGUUGCUGGAGGUAUCAGAAGUGCGAAUGCUGACAUAAGUAACGAUAAAGCGGGUGAAAAGCCCGCUCGCCGGAAGACCAAGGGUUCCUGUCCAACGUUAAUCGGGGCAGGGUGAGUCGACCCCUAAGGCGAGGCCGAAAGGCGUAGUCGAUGGGAAACAGGUUAAUAUUCCUGUACUUGGUGUUACUGCGAAGGGGGGACGGAGAAGGCUAUGUUAGCCGGGCGACGGUUGUCCCGGUUUAAGCAUGUAGGCUGGUUGUCCAGGCAAAUCCGGAUAAUCAAGGCUGAGGUGUGAUGACGAGGCACUACGGUGCUGAAGUAACAAAUGCCCUGCUUCCAGGAAAAGCCUCUAAGCAUCAGGUAACAUUAAAUCGUACCCCAAACCGACACAGGUGGUCAGGUAGAGAAUACCAAGGCGCUUGAGAGAACUCGGGUGAAGGAACUAGGCAAAAUGGUGCCGUAACUUCGGGAGAAGGCACGCUGGUGUGUAGGUGAAGCCCCUGCGGGUGGAGCUGAGACCAGUCGAAGAUACCAGCUGGCUGCAACUGUUUAUUAAAAACACAGCACUGUGCAAACACGAAAGUGGACGUAUACGGUGUGACGCCUGCCCGGUGCCGGAAGGUUAAUUGAUGGGGUUAUCCGUAAGGAGAAGCUCUUGAUCGAAGCCCCGGUAAACGGCGGCCGUAACUAUAACGGUCCUAAGGUAGCGAAAUUCCUUGUCGGGUAAGUUCCGACCUGCACGAAUGGCGUAAUGAUGGCCAGGCUGUCUCCACCCGAGACUCAGUGAAAUUGAACUCGCUGUGAAGAUGCAGUGUACCCGCGGCAAGACGGAAAGACCCCGUGAACCUUUACUAUAGCUUGACACUGAACAUUGAGCCUUGAUGUGUAGGAUAGGUGGGAGGCUUUGAAGCGUGGACGCCAGUCUGCGUGGAGCCAACCUUGAAAUACCACCCUUUAAUGUUUGAUGUUCUAACGUUGGCCCCUGACCGGGGUUGCGGACAGUGUCUGGUGGGUAGUUUGACUGGGGCGGUCUCCUCCCAAAGCGUAACGGAGGAGCACGAAGGUUAGCUAAUCCUGGUCGGACAUCAGGAGGUUAGUGCAAUGGCAUAAGCUAGCUUGACUGCGAGCGUGACGGCGCGAGCAGGUGCGAAAGCAGGUCAUAGUGAUCCGGUGGUUCUGAAUGGAAGGGCCAUCGCUCAACGGAUAAAAGGUACUCCGGGGAUAACAGGCUGAUACCGCCCAAGAGUUCAUAUCGACGGCGGUGUUUGGCACCUCGAUGUCGGCUCAUCACAUCCUGGGGCUGAAGUAGGUCCCAAGGGUAUGGCUGUUCGCCAUUUAAAGUGGUACGCGAGCUGGGUUUAGAACGUCGUGAGACAGUUCGGUCCCUAUCUGCCGUGGGCGCUGGAGAAUUGAGGGGGGCUGCUCCUAGUACGAGAGGACCGGAGUGGACGCAUCACUGGUGUUCGGGUUGUCAUGCCAAUGGCACUGCCCGGUAGCUAAAUGCGGAAGAGAUAAGUGCUGAAAGCAUCUAAGCACGAAACUUGCCCCGAGAUGAGUUCUCCCUGAGACUUUAAGUCUCCUGAAGGAACGUUGAAGACGACGACGUUGAUAGGCCGGGUGUGUAAGCGCAGCGAUGCGUUGAGCUAACCGGUACUAAUGAACCGUGAGGCUUAACCUU